AUCCUUCGGUUCAUGAGCGUGAUGAUUGGGUGUUCAUGUUGUAUGCGUGAGAUGUGCCUCCCUCAGUCGGCACAUUACCCAUCUGAUC
ensembl:snoRNA